CUACUACUACUACUACUACUACUACAGGUGUUAUAAUGUGAAAACCGAUGUCAUUAUGUUCAGAAAGUAAUUUAUCAUGACCUUUACAUAUCCAAGCAUUAACCUCAAGUUUAUAAUAUAUUCGAGGUCAAGGGUGAUGUGUGUUGUUUUCAUGUAGGGUCAAGUUGGCUAGGUACAGCUUGACCCCUGACCCCCUGUCUCUCUCUCUCUCUCUCUCUCUCUCUCUCUCUCUCUCUCUCUCUCUCUCUCUCUCUCUCUCUCUCUCUCUCUCUGGGGUGCCUCCAGAGUUCCUACAGUGUUAGCGGAUAGGAUAGGAUCAAAUACUGUGUGUACACUUGAGGGCUUGGAAGGCAGUGUUGGGGCUUAGGGCUGAGGGCUUGGAAGGCAGUGUUGGGGCUGAGGACUGAGGGCUUGGAAGGCAGUGUUGGGGCUUAGGGCUGAGGGCUUGGAAGGCAGUGUUGGGGCUGAGGGCUGAGGGCUUGGAAGGCAGUGUUGGGGCUGAGGGCUGAGGGCUUGGAAGGCAGUGUUGGGGCUGAGGGCUGAGGGCUUGGAAGGCAGUGUUGGGGCUGAGGGCUGAGGGCUUGGAAGGCAGUGUUGGGGCUGAGGGCUGAGGGCUUGGAAGGCAGUGUUGGGGCUGAGGACUGAGGGCUUGGAAGGCAGUGUUGGGGCUGAGGGCUGAGGGCUUGGAAGGCAGUGUUGGGGCUGAGGACUGAGGGCUUGGAAGGCAGUGUUGGGGCUGAGGGCUGAGGGCUUGGAAGGCAGUGUUGGGGCUGAGGGCUGAGGGCUUGGAAGGCAGUGUUGGGGCUGAGGGCUGAGGGCUUGGAAGGCAGUGUUGGGGCUGAGGGCUGAGGGCUUGGAAGGCAGUGUUGGGGCUUAGGGCUGAGGGGUGGCAGGUCCUCUAGAUAAGGCCUGUGGAUGUGGAGCCUGGUUGGGAAUGCUUUGAGGUUGGCACGGAGGGAGUGGAACAUUGGGCACUGGAGUAGGGAGUGUUCUGGGGUGCCAGGCUGUGUGGGGCACCAUGGGCAGUGUGUGCAGGUGUCAUGAAGUGUUCUGGGGUGGCAGGCAGUGGGGCACCAUGGGCAGGAAGUGUUCUGGGGUGUGGUGGUAGUUUGACAAGGCUUUGGUAGAGGUGGUUGUGUUAGUAAUUCUAUGGUGGGUACUAGUGUUUUGAGCCUGGUGACAACAAGGCUUUGGUAGAGGUGGUUGUGUUAGUGAGUGUGUGUGUUGAGCGUGUCUUCAGCGCACACUGCCUCUGUUGCUGACGAGUAAGGUGGCACUCUCUGCAUUGUGAUUUCAGGUGCCUGAGGACGCCUUCCCAUGGACAGCAGCAGGCGACAUCCUCCUGAGGGGCUGCUGUGUGGCGUCCAUCCUCCUUUGUAUAAAGACAAAUACACUUACCUCAACACAACAACUUUUUUUAUAUUCAUAUGUUUUCUGGGAGGGAGAAGGGGGAGAGAGGCAGGAUGGUGUGUGCCUGUGAGGUGAGUGUUGUAUGAAAUGACCACCCUCAAACUUCCCCUUCAGGCUCGCUUGCGACAUGAGUUUUAGCGAGUGUGUGUUUCCACGCUCUCUGGGUGUGUGAGUGGACUGUCCCGUGGCUUCAGACUUGCCAGAGUAAUCAUUUUUUUUACUACAGCAAAGGAGACGGCUCAAGGUAAAGUUGGGGGCAUACACUAUAACUGCGCAUGGCCUCAGUGCUCAUCUCCGUGACAUUGAGCCUGUGGUGGGAGGGAGCUCA